CUGCGCGGGAGCCGGGAGUCCCCGCGGCGGGCGGCGGCGGCGGCGUUGGCGGCGGCGGCGUUGGCGGAAGGAGGCGGCGGUAGAGAGAAGCCCGCGGCUGCCGCGGGCAUAGCGAAAUGGCGGAGACCGUAGCGGACACCCGGCAGCUCAUCACCAAGCCGCAGAACCUGAAUGACGCCUACGGGCCGCCCAGCAACUUCCUCGAGAGAGAUCGACGUGAGCAACCCGCAGACCGUGGGGGUCGGCCGCUUCACCACCUACGAGAUCAGGGUCAAGACAAAUCUUCCUAUUUUCAAGCUGAAGGAAACUACUGUUAGAAGAAGAUACAGUGACUUUGAGUGGCUUCGAAGCGAACUAGAGAGAGAGAGCAAGGUUGUGGUUCCCCGCUCCCUGGGAAAGCAUUUUUGCGGCAGCUUCCUUUUAGAGGAGACGAUGGAAUAUUUGAUGACAAUUUCAUCGAGGAAAGGAAGCAAGGGCUGGAACAGUUCAUAAACAAGGUCGCCGGUCAUCCUCUGGCCCAGAAUGAACGUUGUCUUCACAUGUUUUUACAGGAUGAAAUUAUAGAUAAAAGCUAUACUCCAUCUAAAAUAAGACAUGCCUGAGUUUAGCAAGAAGAAGCAAAACCUGAGACCAUCGGUGAUUCACCCACACCAAUGAAGAAGUUGUAACUAACUUAGCAUGCUGCCCAGUCACUGGUAUAACACGCCUGGGUAUCCUAACACUUCCACGCUCCCUUCCAUUCUCUUUGUUUUGGCAGUUGACAAGAUGUUAAUUUGCUUUAGUGAAAACUCCCUCGCUCCAGCCUUCUUUCUGAGUAGCUCUUCCCGCGGUGUCUGUGCGCGCACGGUAGCCUCCCAGCCCCUAGAACCUGCAGUGUCCUGACUAAAGCUGCCGACUUGCUCUCACUUACAGUUCCUGUGUCUGUUUGCUUCUUGAAUCUGAUUGACUAGAGUAUUUCUCCCCCACCCCUUGAUGUGUGAUGUCACCACUUGGUCCUAAUUUAUGUGCAGGAGCACGACACCAUUUGUCUCCAGUGCCACACAUAGGAGGUGAACUUUGUGUGCAGAACGUGGUGUCUUCCUUCUGGCCUGUAAUCCCCUUCACAUGAAAGAUUAAUGAGGGAAAUCUUUAUAUUCUGUAUAAAAACAAAAUCAAAUUUAUAUACUAAAAUCAUUUGUCUAAAAUUUAAGUUGUUUUCAAAUAAAAGUUGAAAUGC